ensembl:lncRNA
AUGCGUUGAUGCGGUGAAGUUUUUGUUUUUAACUCUUAUAUAACAUUGAUGGAAGGAGUCUCCAGCGUCAGCACUUCGCAACAGGGUCUGUGGAGAAAGUCCUACCACGAGAUCCAUCACAUCAGGUCAAAUUUCAUGAGGUCAGACUGAAAACAAAAAAGCCUGCUAAUCGAGAUCAUUGUUUGGCAGCAUAGUUGUGAAGAAUGAAGUCACACCAGUGGGGUGAGGUUGGAAAAACCAAAUGAAGAUUUGUCAUCAAAAUCCAUCCCUCUAUCUUCUAUAGCGCUUAUCCUUCCUUCAGGGUCACGGGGAACCUGGAGCCUGUCCCAGGGAGCAUCGGACACAAGACCCCCCUGGCUCUUAAUGUAUUGCCUUCGUGAGCAUCAGUGAACGUUUGCACCUCAACAAAGAUGGAUCUCAACAUCAUAUAGCCGCUGUUGGAAAGGAGUCAAAUAUGCAGAAGAUGCUGGAAAAGCAAAGAACGUGCAGGACCUGGAGGAUUUUUCUGAAGAACAGUGGGCAGUUUAACUGCUCAGGACAAACAAGGGACGCAUGAACAACUUUCACAAAACAUAAACACAGUCGCUGAUCAUCCAGGUAACGACACACAGGAUUAAGACUCAAGCGUGUGUAAACUUUUGAACGCAUUUAUUUGUGUAAAUUCAGUUAUUAUUGUGUCUUGUGGACUAUAUGUAAACAUCUGUUAUGUGACAUAGAUCAUUCAGGGCAGGACUAAAUGAAAAACAAACUGCAAUUUUUAUGAUACCUCUUUUUUUAAUAAAUAACAUUUUGCAGAUUCUACAAAGCGUACGUAAACUUAUGACCGCAGCUGUACAGUGAAAAUGUGAACUGAAAUUUAAACAUGCUCCUGUCAUCUCGCUCUACCGCUGACCUACUGGCCAUCUUUCUUAUUAAACACACAGUGACAGAUUCUUCACUCGGUGAACUUCUAGCCUUCGCACCCUGGUAACAAAUUGAGUUGUAAGCUCUCGUAAACUAACUGGGUGAAGAUCAGGCCCCAAUGCGAGUCUAUAAAUGCGUUGCCCAUUUAUAUCAAUAUAUACCUUGGACCUCUAUCAGUUAUAGUGUGACUGUGUGGCAUCCUGACUACUAACAAACCUAGAAUUAUAAUGCUGUAUCUGACUGUGAAUUUAUGAUGUGAACAGAUAAAGCUUUGACAUUCAGUAAAAGCAAAGCAGAUAUGACUUUUAAGCAAAGUCUUGGUGUGAAGCUUCUCACAUAUAUUCAGUGUCACUGAAAUAACAAAUUUAUAACGUUGUUGUAUUGUUUUUGCCAAUAUUGUCAAAUGUUUUAUAAUUCCAAUGUUGUAAACUUGGAUGAAACACUAUGAAUAGAUUAUGACAUGAUCCUGA